rnacentral:rRNA from 1 species
UACGGGGGGGCAAGCGUUGUUCGGAAUUACUGGGCGUUAAGGGCUCGUAGGCGGCCCACUAAGUCCGACGUGAAAUCCCCAGGCUUAACUUGGGAACUGCGUCGGAUACUGGUGGGCUUGAAUCCGGGAGAGGGAUGCGGAAUUCCAGGUGUAGCGGUGAAAUGCGUAGAUAUCAGGAGGAACACCGGUGGCGAAGGCGGGUCUCUGGGCCGUAACUGACGCUGAGGAGCGAAAGCGUGGGGAGCAAACAGG